rnacentral:rRNA from 1 species
UACGUAGGGACCAAGCGUUGUCCGGAAUCAUUGGGCGUAAAGAGCGUGUAGGCGGCUUGUUAAGUCUUGCGUGAAAUCUCGGGGCUCAACCCCGAGCGGUCGUGAGAAACUGGCAGGCUAGAGUGCGGGAGAGGAGAGUGGAAUUCCUGGUGUAGCGGUGAAAUGCGUAGAGAUUAGGAAGAACACCAGUGGCGAAGGCGACUUACUGGACUGUAACUGACGCUGAGGCAUGAAAGCGUGGGGAUCAAACAGG